UUUAAAUAAAAUUAAAAACGACGGGCAAUAUGUGCAUAUUAAUUAUAAAAUUCAAUUAAAAUAUUUAUUAAAAAAUUUAAUUUUAAAUCCAAUUUAAAAUUAUUAUUACAAAUAAUUAAUCAAAAAUUUUUUUAAAAAUGUAUUUCAUUAAAACUUUAAUUAUAAAAUAUAUUAUGAUUUGAAUUUAUUUUUAAAAAAAAUUAAAAUAAUUAAUUUUAAUAAUUAUUUAAACAACAAUAUAUAAUUUAAUAAAUUAAAUAAUUGUUAUUGUGUAUUAUCAAAUUAAUAAACAAAAUCCUCUAAUUUUUAUUAAUACUACCAAAUAAAUUAACUUUAUAUUAUAAAAAUAUAUUAAUUAAAAAUUUUUUUUAAAUUAUAAUA
rnacentral:rRNA from 1 species